GCAAAUGUUUUAUCAUUGAAACUGGAAUGACUGAAUGCUGUACAGAUUAUUAUAGAACAAAAUCAGAUUCAUGCAAACCUUGCAUUGGAUAC